rnacentral:rRNA from 1 species
GAUGAACGCUGGCGGCGUGCCUAAUACAUGCAAGUCGAGCGAACGGACGAGAAGCUUGCUUCUCUGAUGUUAGCGGCGGACGGGUGAGUAACACGUGGAUAACCUACCUAUAAGACUGGGAUAACUUCGGGAAACCGGAGCUAAUACCGGAUAAUAUUUUGAACCGCAUGGUUCAAAAGUGAAAGACGGUCUUGCUGUCACUUAUAGAUGGAUCCGCGCUGCAUUAGCUAGUUGGUAAGGUAACGGCUUACCAAGGCAACGAUGCAUAGCCGACCUGAGGGGGUGAUCGGCCACACUGGAACUGAGACACGGUCCAGACGCCUACGGGAGGCAGCAGUAGGGAAUCUUCCGCAAUGGGCGAAAGCCUGACGGAGCAACGCCGCGUGAGUGAUGAAGGUCUUCGGAUCGUAAAACUCUGUUAUUAGGGAAGAACAUAUGUGUAAGUAACUGUGCACAUCUUGACGGUACCUAAUCAGAAAGCCACGGCUAACUACGCG